UACGUAGGGGGCAAGCGUUAUCCGGAAUUACUGGGUGUAAAGGGUGAGUAGGCGGCAUGGUAAGCCAGAUGUGAAAGCCUUGGGCUUAACCCGAGGAUUGCAUUUGGAACUAUCAAGCUAGAGUACAGGAGAGGAAAGCGGAAUACCUAGUGUAGCGGUGAAAUGCGUAGAUAUUAGGAAGAACACCAGUGGCGAAGGCGGCUUUCUGGACUGAAACUGACGCUGAGGCACGAAAGCGUGGGGAGCGAACAGG
rnacentral:rRNA from 1 species